UGAAGCUGAAAUGAAAUGCCUUUUAUAAAUUGUGCUGCCAUAAAUACCCAUGCAAUACUUCUUUCUUGCCUUCAAGCAGCCGCGCAUCAGAUGCCUCAAGUCCAUCUGCUUCAGACAGCAGAAGCAACUAUGAAGAAACAUAUGAAGAUGUUGAGACUGGGAGUGAUAAUCCAGCAAAAGAGGAAGCAGAAAAACAAAAGAGAUUUGGAAAGCUGUUUAAGAUAG
rnacentral:lncRNA from 1 species